GAUGAACGCUGGCGGCGUGCCUAAUACAUGCAAGUCGAGCGCGAAGAUCAGGAGCUUGCUCCUGUGAUUUGAGCGGCGGACGGGUGAGUAACACGUAGGCAACCUACCCUUGAGAUUGGGAUAACUACCGGAAACGGUAGCUAAUACCGGAUACGACCUUUCCACAUAAGUGGGCUGGUUAAAAGGCGGAUUUAUCUGCCGCUCAUGGAUGGGCCUGCGGUGCAUUAGCUAGUUGGUGAGAUAGUAGCUCACCAAGGCGACGAUGCAUAGCCGACCUGAGAGGGUGAUCGGCCACACUGGGACUGAGACACGGCCCAGACUCCUACGGGAGGCAGCAGUAGGGAAUCUUCCGCAAUGGACGAAAGUCUGACGGAGCAACGCCGCGUGAGUGAUGAAGGGUUUCGGCUCGUAAAACUCUGUUGUUAAGGAAGAAUACUUGAGGUAGUAACUGGCCUUGAG
rnacentral:rRNA from 1 species